CACGUAGGGUGCGAGCGUUGUCCGGAAUUAUUGGGCGUAAAGAGCUCGUAGGCGGUGUGUCGCGUCGGCCGUGAAAACCUGCAGCUUAACUGUGGGCUUGCGGUCGAUACGGGCAUCACUGGAGUUCGGCAGGGGAGACUGGAAUUCCUGGUGUAGCGGUGAAAUGCGCAGAUAUCAGGAGGAACACCGGUGGCGAAGGCAGCUCGCUAGGACGGUACUGACGCUGAGACGCGAAAGCGUGGGGAGCGAACAGG
rnacentral:rRNA from 1 species